CUAGAAAGGAAAGGCCCUGGGGAAGAGGGGCUGUAGGAGGCUGAGGAUGACAGUCCUUCCCUGAGCUGAGACAUCAGGGCACGCACUUCCCCACACUCCCCUGAGGGGCAGGGGUCUUCCCCUAGCUACUAACAGUUCCUCUGGCUGCUGACUCACAGCCAACUUCCUCUCGUACAAACAGGAAAACACAGCAGGCCAGCACCCCCCCCACACACACAGCUAAACACUGGCCCUGCUCUGAGGGGAAGUGCCUCGGCCCUAGGUGACAGGACCCCUCACAGAUGAAAUGGGGGAGGGGAAAGGAGUCUUUUCUCUUUAGCUCCCCCUACCCCAGCAACUUGCCUGAGGGCAGGGGCGCUCCUUACUCCUAGUUUGCCUUAUUCCCAAAUCGGCAACCCCUAACCUUGGUUUGGAAGUGGGACAGUCAUUGGUCUUCCUCUCUUGGAAGAAACUUAGGGCAGUUGCAGAUGGGCGGGAAGCCGAUGAGGAGCCUCUGUGCCUGUUCUCCCCGGGCCAGAUCUCAGUGAUGCAGAGCCAGGAGAGAGGCUUCGGCGCGGAAGGCUGUGCCUAUCUCUCACUUCUGAAUGUGCAGCCUCCCCCCGCAUCUAACUGGAUGCCAGGGUCCAGCCAUCCUGCUGGACGCCGGGGAGACGCCCCAUUUUACAGCUCGUUGAGAGGGCAGCGCCUGGCAGCCCCUGAGAUAAGUGCGGUGGUUGAGUAAGAAGCCCGAACCUCCCGAAGGCCGGGGCUUGCACAAGCAGGGACCGAGGCCCGGCGGAGGGAGCCGGCCGGGCGGGCUGUUUCCACUGUGAUCAAACCUCAUUACUUUGUGU
rnacentral:lncRNA from 1 species